GGAAGUGAGGGCGAUCUGGCUGCGACAUCUGUCACCCCCAUUGAUCGCCAGGGUUGAUACGGCUGAUCUGGCUGGCUAGGUGGGUGUCCCCUUCCUCCCUCACCGCUCCAUGUGCGUCCCUCCCGAAGCUGCGCGCUCGGUCAAAGAGGACGACCUUCCCCGAUAGAGACGGUACCGUUCAUUGGUCAAGGGUAUACGGUAGCGGCGCUCCCCUGCUAGAACCUCCAAACAAGCUCAAGGUUCAUUUGUAGGAGAACGUAGGGUAGUCAAGCUUCCAAGACUGCAGACACAUCCAAGUGAGGCGCUGCAUGGGGCAGAUUUUUAUAUUAU
rnacentral:snRNA from 1 species